UUUAUUAGGAAGUUGUAAUAUAAUAAGAAAUAUAUUUGAUCUCUGCCCCCAUGACCCAGCAUACAGCUUCUAAAACUCUUGCAAUCUUUGAGAUGAUGUGUCUUUUGUAUGCUAGUGAGAGGACUGGUGCUGGGGGGCAGUUACUGGAUAGCAUUAGCAUAGGGGCUGGUUGCCAGGGGAACCAACUAAGUGAUUGUGACUUUCAGUCCCUACCUUGAUAUUCUGGGAGAAAAGAGGGAUUGGAGGUUGAGUCAGUCACUAAUGGCCAAUGAUUGAGUCAGUCAUGUGUAUGUAAUAAGGCCUCCAUAAAAACCGAAGAGGAUGGGGUUUGCAGAGCUUCUAGGCUGGUGAGCACUUGGAUGUGCUGGAGGCAUCCAGAGGGUGGAGCACGUGGAGAGGGCAUGAAUGCUCAGUGCACCUUCCCUCAUACCUUGCCUUAUACAGCGUUUCCAUCUGGCUGCUGUUGAGUUUUAUUCUUUAUAACAAUAUGCUAACCCUAAGCAAAGUUUUCCUGAGUUCUGUGAGCCAUUCUAGCAAAUGGUGGAACCUGAGAAAGGGGACAUGGGAAUCUCUGACUUACAGCCAGUCAGCCCGAAGCACAGAGAUAUGCCCAGAUAAAUGCCUGUGGGGGCAGGGAAGUGAGUAGGAUGGGACGGAGGCAGGAGUUCAGCUGUGAUACUUGAUGCAUUCACAACACCUGAGGUAACUCAUCAGCAUCAUCCUUAACUGAGGAAGGGAGCCAGUCCUCCCAACAAAUGGAAACUGAAUUUUCAUUCCUGAGGGUGAGCCCGACUCUCUCAGCACAAUGUCAACUACACACAAAAUCCAAAGUCUAGAUUUGGAAAUGAAAACUAUGUGGCACAUAUACACUAUGCAAUACUAUGCAGCCAUAAAAAAAGAUGAGUUCAUGUCCUUUGCAGAGACAUGGCUGAAGCUGGAAACCAUCAUUCUCAGCAAACUAACACAAGAACAGAAAACCAAACACCAUAUGUUCUCACUCAUAAGUGGGAGUUGAACAAUGAGAAUACAUGGACACAGGGAGGGAAACAUCACACACUGGGGGCUGUUGGGGGAUGGGAGGCUAGGGGAGGGAUAGCAUUAGGAGAAAUACCUAAUGUAGAAGAUGGGUUGAUGGGUGCAGCAAACCACCAUGGCCCAUGUAUACCUAUGUAACAAAACUGCAUGUUCUGCACAUGUAGCCCAGAACUUAAAGCAUAAAAAAG
rnacentral:lncRNA from 1 species